AAUUGACUAGAAGAUAUGGAUGGUUUAUUUGAAAAACCUACUAAUAUAACGUAUUGGGAAUCUAAUUCAUAUAUGGUGUUGAAUGCUUAACUACGUUUAAGAAUCCUAAAAUGUAUGAUGUGAUGCCCACCUGGGAGAUCAGGUUUUAUCGUUAUUGCCGCCUUUCUUUUGGUCUUUUU
rnacentral:other from 1 species